AAUUGGGACUUUGGAUUUUUUUUGGUGAAAUUUCGAAUGAGUCAUAUGUCUCCGAAAGCGUUUGGUUACCCGGCGUUGAUCGAGGUGAGGAGGAGGUGGUUUCCGUGCGUCCGCAACACGCCGGAACUUACCAUUCGCAUCAGGAAGGGAGUGUGCGGUCCGUGGUGCCUGAUUUGAACCAGGUCGUAGAGGAGGCGGGACCAUCUUACGUGGCUCAAAGCUAUCCGCAACAGGAAAAACAUGCAUACGGGACUUACCAUUCCCAUCAGGAAAAACAACGCAAG